rnacentral:rRNA from 1 species
AGAGUUUGAUCCUGGCUCAGAACGAACGCUGGCGGCAUGCUUAACACAUGCAAGUCGAACGAACUAUUUAUAGUUAGUGGCAGACGGGUGAGGAACGCGUGGGAACGUACCCCAAAGUUCGGAAUAACUAUUGGAAACGAUAGCUAAUACCGGAUGUGACCGAGAGGUUAAAGGUUUACCGCUUUGGGAGCGGCCCGCGUUAGAUUAGCUAGUUGGUGGGGUAAAGGCCUACCAAGGCAAUGAUCUAUAGCUGGUCUGAGAGGAUGACCAGCCACACUGGGACUGAGACACGGCCCAGACUCCUACGGGAGGCAGCAGUGGGGAAUAUUGGACAAUGGGGGCAACCCUGAUCCAGCAAUGCCGCGUGAAUGAUGAAGGCCUUAGGGUUGUAAAGUUCUUUUAUUGAUGACGAUAAUGACGGUAAUCAAUGAAUAAGCACCGGCUAACUUCGUGCCAGCAGCCGCGGUAAUACGAAGGGUGCUAGCGUUGUUCGGAAUGACUGGGCGUAAAGGGUGCGUAGGCGGCCAGAAGCGUCUGAUGUGAAAUCCCUGGGCUUAACCUAGGAACUGCAUUGGAUACGGUCUGGCUAGAGUCCGCGAGAGGAAGAUGGAAUUGUGCGUGUAGAGGUGAAAUUCGUAGAUAUGCACAAGAACACCGGUGGCGAAGGCGAUCUUCUGGAGCGGUACUGACGCUAAGGCACGGAAGUGUGGGGAGCAAACAGGAUUAGAUACCCUGGUAGUCCACACUGUAAACGAUGAAUGUUAGAUGUCGGGGAGGUUACUCUUCGGUAUCGCAGCUAACGCAUUAAACAUUCCGCCUGGGGAGUACGGUCGCAAGAUUAAAACUCAAAG